rnacentral:rRNA from 1 species
UACGUAGGUCCCGAGCGUUGUCCGGAUUUAUUGGGCGUAAAGCGAGCGCAGGUGGUUUAUUAAGUCUGGUGUAAAAGGCAGUGGCUCAACCAUUGUAUGCAUUGGAAACUGGUAGACUUGAGUGCAGGAGAGGAGAGUGGAAUUCCAUGUGUAGCGGUGGAAUGCGUAGAUAUAUGGAGGAACACCGGUGGCGAAGGCGGCUCUCUGGCCUGUAACUGACACUGAGGCUCGAAAGCGUGGGGAGCAAACAGG